UCUACGGGAGGCAGCAGUGAGGAAUAUUGGUCAAUGGGCGGAAGCCUGAACCAGCCAAGUCGCGUGAGGGAAUAAGGCCCUACGGGUCGUAAACCUCUUUUGCCGGGGAGCAAGGGCGGGGACGUGUCCCGGCCCGGAGAGUACCCGGAGAAAACGCAUCGGCUAACUCCGUGCCAGCAGCCGCGGUAAGACGGGGGAUACGAGCGUUAUCCUGUUUUAUUGGGUGUAAAGGGUGCGUCGGCGGGCGUUUAAGUCAGCGGUAAAAAUUCGGGGCUAAAACCCUGCCGGACGUUGAAACUGGGUGCCGUGAGUGGGCGAGAAGAAGGCGGAAUGCGUGGUGUAGCGGUGAAAUGCAUAGAUAUAACGAAGAACCCCGAUUGCGAAGGCAGCCUUCCGGCGCCCUACUGACGCUGAGGCACGAAAGUGCGGGGAUCGAACAGGAUUAGAUACCCCUGUAGUC
rnacentral:rRNA from 1 species